rnacentral:rRNA from 1 species
GGAUUAGAUACCCUGGUAGUCCACGCCGUAAACGAUGGUCACUAGCUGUUCGGACUUUAUGUCUGAGUGGCUAAGCGAAAGUGAUAAGUGACCCACCUGGGGAGUACGUUCGCAAGAAUGAAACUCAAAGGAAUUGACGGGGGCCCGCACAAGCGGUGGAGCAUGUGGUUUAAUUCGAUGAUACGCGAGGAACCUUACCAGGGCUUAAAUGUAAGUUGCAUAAGCUAGAGAUAGCUUUUUCUUCGGACUACUUACAAGGUGCUGCAUGGUUGUCGUCAGCUCGUGCCG